UGAGGAAUAUUGGACAAUGGGCGCAAGCCUGAUCCAGCCAUGCCGCGUGCAGGAAGAAGCAUCUAUGGUGUGUAAACUGCUUUUGUACGGGAAGAAACACUCCUUCGUGAAGGAGCUUGACGGUACCGUAAGAAUAAGGAUCGGCUAACUCCGCGCCAGCAGCCGCGGUAAUACGGAGGAUCCAAGCGUUAUUCGGAAUCAUUGGGUUUAAAGGGUGCGUAGGCGGUUUAGUAAGUCAGUGGUGAAAGCCCAGCGCUCAACGAUGGAACGGCCAUUGAUACUGCUAGACUUGAAUUAUUAGGAAGUAACUAGAAUAUGUAGUGUAGCGGUGAAAUGCUUAGAUAUUACAUGGAAUACCAAUUGCGAAGGCAGGUUACUACUUGUGGAUUGACGCUGAUGGACGAAAGCGUGGGGAGCGAACA
rnacentral:rRNA from 1 species